UAGCCCAACCCAGUCUUCGCCAAAAAGAACUCAAGACGCUCUCAACCAAAGCGGUCACCGUAUCGCCCUCCCUCACCACCUCAAAACAAACAAAAUCAGCCAACCAUGUCCGCUUGUUUUCUUCAUUUCACUCCCAUGGUGACUUCAAUCUCAUCUUCUUCUAAAUUGUUUCCUCCCUGUGGUAGAAGCCACACAAGAAGGCCACUCAAGACUCUCUUUGCUGCUUCUUGCAUUGGUGCCAAGGCCGCGGCUAAAAUCCCCAUACCGCCCAUCAACCCUAACGACCCCUUUCUCUCCAAACUCGCUUCUGUUGCCGCCAAAUCUCCUGAAAAGUUUCUUAACCGUCCUGUUAACCCCGAAACGCCGCCGUAUUUGGAUGUCUUUGACUCGCCCACUCUCAUGGCCACUCCUGCUCAAGUGGAGAGAUCGGUUUCAUACAAUGAACAUAGGCCAAGGACACCACCACCGGAUUUGCCUUCACUGCUUCUUCAUGGUAGAAUAGUUUACAUUGGAAUGCCGUUGGUGCCUGCUGUCACAGAGCUUGUUGUUGCAGAGCUGAUGUACUUGCAGUGGAUGGAUCCCAAAGAACCAAUAUACGUUUACAUAAAUUCAACUGGGACAACUCGUGAUGAUGGUGAAUCGGUUGGGAUGGAAACAGAAGGUUUUGCCAUUUAUGAUGCUAUGAUGCAGAUGAAAAAUGAGAUACAUACAGUUGCUGUUGGAGCUGCUAUAGGCCAGGCUUGUCUAUUGCUAGCUGCAGGAAGCCCAGGAAAACGAUUUAUGAUGCCUCAUGCCAAAGCCAUGAUCCAACAGCCUCGUGUCCCAUCAUCUGGGUUGAUGCCUGCUAGUGAUGUUCUUAUUCGUGCCAGAGAGGCUAUAACAAACCGGGACACUCUUGUAAAACUUCUGGCCAAGCAUACUGGAAAUUCAGAAGAGACAGUUGCAAAUGUGAUGAAAAGACCAUUUUAUAUGGAUUCUACUAGAGCUAAAGAAUUUGGGGUCAUUGACAAGAUUCUAUGGCACGGUCAGGAAACAAUCAUGGCAGCUGUUGCGCCCCCAGAGGAAUGGGACAAGAAUGCUGGAAUUAAAGUUGUAGACAGAUUUUAAGCUUUCUCUAGCCAAUUCAUCAUAAGAAAUUCUGAUGACCUUACCAUGAACACACAUUAUGUCUAGGUUUCUGUUUCAUAUUCUUCCUCUAAAAUCUUGAAGAAGAAGAUUAUUUCUUCGGAAAAGUAGGAAAAAUCCAAAUCUUUUUCAUGGUAAACAAAUUCUAAAUGGAUGAAGUUACCAAAGUGGGUUAAUCGGACAGGAAAGAUUUUGUGAAAGAUUGUAUCGUCAAUUUCUUCCAAUGAUCUUUGCAGCUCUUGGUGGUCACGCCAAUGGUGGUGGUGCUGCAGAAAUAUGGGCUGCGGAAGUGCGUUGGUGGGGGUGGUGUUGUGAGUGGCUUGUAAUUUAUUUGAAAUGAUAUUUUUGUCUUGAAAAUUAUACGAGCAAAAUAGUCACAAUUAGAGGUUUAUGUAUACUUCUUAUUCUGAUUGAAUAUGAUAAUAUCUCUGUAAUUCAAAUUUUUUAAA